rnacentral:rRNA from 1 species
AAUAGAUACCCUGGUAGUCCUGGCCGUAAACGAUGACCACUAGAUGUGUGGGGUAUCGACCCCCUACGUGUCGUAAGCAAACGCGUUAAGUGGUCCGCCUGGGGAGUACGGUCGCAAGAUUAAAACUCAAAGGGAUUGACGGGGACCCGCACAAGCAGCGGAGCGUGUGGUUUAAUUCGAUGCAACGCGAAGCACCUUACCAGGGCUUGACAUGCUCUUGCACCGCCCGUAACGGGGCGUGCCCGCAAGGGACAGGAGCACAGGUGCUGCAUGGCUGUCGUCAGCUCGUGUCGUGAGAUGUUGGGUUAAGUCCCGCAACGAGCGCAACCCCCAUGAUUAGUUGGAUUUCUCUAAUCAGACUGCCACUCUCAAAGUGGAGGAAGGUGGGGAUGACGUCAAGUCAGCACGGCCCUUACGUCCUGGGCGACACACACGCUACAAUGGCCGAGACAACGAGUCGCCAACCCGCGAGGGGAGCCAAUCUCAGCAAACUCGGUCUCAGUUCAGAUUGCAGGCUGCAACCCG